CCUACGGGAGGCAGCAGUGGGGGAUAUUGCACAAUGGGGGGAACCCUGAUGCAGCGACGCCGCGUGGGUGAAGAAGCGCCUCGGCGCGUAAAGCCCUGUCAGCAGGGAAGAAAAUGACGGUACCUGAAGAAGAAGCCCCGGCUAACUACGUGCCAGCAGCCGCGGUAAUACGUAGGGGGCACGCGUUAUCCGGAUUUACGGGGUGGAAAGGGGGCGCAGACGGCGAUGCAAGCCAGGAGUGAAAGCCCGGGGCCCAACCCCGGGACUGCUCUUGAAACUGCGUGGCUGGAGUGCAGGAGGGGCAGGCGGAAUUCCUGGUGUAGCGGUGAAAUGCGUAGAGAUCAGGAGGAACACCGGUGGCGAAGGCGGCCUGCUGGACUGCAACUGACGUUGAGGCCCGAAAGCGUGGGGAGCAAACAGGAUUAGAUACCCUAGUAGUC
rnacentral:rRNA from 1 species